rnacentral:rRNA from 1 species
AUGAGAGCGAUGAACAGUUUCUACAAGGGGGACAUGAGAGGUUUGGCCACAAUCAAUAAGUCCCUUGUCUCACUUUUGCCAAAGAAGGAGGGGGCUUUGGAGGUGAGUGACUUCCGGACUAUAAACCUUGUCCACGGGGCCAUCAAGAUCUUUGAAAAGGGUUUGGCCAGUCGGUUGGUGGAGGAUCUCCCCAAGUUGGUCGGGAACCACCAAAGUGCAUUCGUUAAGGGCAGAUCGCUGCAUGACAACUUCAUGCUUGUGCAGAGCAUGGCACGUUGCUUGCAUGCUUUGAGGAGUUCAAGUGUGCUGCUAAAGCUAGAUAUAUCUAAAGCUUUUGACUCUGUUCAAUGGCCUUUUCUUAUUGAGGUGUUGAAUCAAAUGGGCUUCGGACCAAGGUGGAGGUCUUGGAUAUGCGGGAUACUUGCAACAUCGACCACCAAGAUCAUGGUGAAUGGUGAGCCGGGAGACACGAUAUACAAUUGUAAAGGGCUGAGGCAGGGGGACCCGAUCUCUCCAAUGCUUUUCAUUCUAACGAUGGAGCCCCUUCAAAGGUUGUUCGAGGUGGCUAUGGCUAGAGGUCUGGUGUCACCCCUGGCGCGUGUUGGCAUGAGGAAACGUCUCUCUAUCUUCGCUGAUGACGUGGUGCUAUUUAUCAAGCCAAAUCCAAUGGACCUUGAGGUAUGCAAGUCCCUGUUUGAGAUCUUUGGGGAGGCAUCAGGGCUGAGAAUCAACAUGAGCAAAUCCGCGGCCCUACCUAUCAGGUGCUCUGAGGAGGAGAUUGCAAUGGCAUGCAAUGAGUUGCAAUGCCCCUUGGGAUCAUUCCCGAUCAAGUAUCUUGGGCUACCCCUAUCGCUAAGGAAGCAAACCGCAACACAGUUACAAUUUUUGGUGGAUCACAUGGCAAAUCAGCUACCGAAAUGGAGAGCUUCUAUGAUGCCCAAGAGCGGGCGACUAACUCUUGUGCAGUCUGUCUUGUGUGCAAUGUCGAUCCAUGCUAUGAUGGCUUUGGACCUACCUGCAAAAACUAUAUCGGCAAUGAACAAGAUUUGCCGAGGUUUCUUAUGGUGCCGAUGA